rnacentral:ncRNA from 2 species
UAGGAAUGUCGUCUCCGAGCCUGAUCGCCUAAAAAUGCACUUCAUGGCGACUGGCCGAUAGGGUGUUUCUGGAAACGGAAACGCCUCCCAUUGCGGAAAGGAGAAACACAAAUUGCCCA